GACGGAAGCAAGGACCAGUUAAGCGACCUUCUGGCAGUUAAGCAACCCUCCGUGGGUUGGAAUUCACUGUCAGAAUGGAAUGUUACAGGCAGUAAAUUUAUAAUGAGCCCACAGGCCUUUUGUUGUCGGCCACACAAGAUGGCAGCUGUGACUUGGUGUUUGCUGUCCCCGUGGAGACGUCCCCACCCCCUCGGCGGUGCUCAGCUGCCCUUGUAACUCGCAUGACAGCAUAAUGUGGCAAAAUGACGUCACACGUGUCUUGAGAAGAAGCCUGAGAGGAAAGGGGGUCGGCCUCAGCUGCCCCUGCAGACCCCCAGCAGAGCGCAGUGGCAGGAUGGCCCCCCCGUGGAGCCGGACGACUGGCCAUCAUGUGGUUGGUCAGAGGGCAAGUGGUCACCGCAGCGCAGGGGCCUGGCUCCCACCCCCAGCUCCUGCUCAUGACCCCUGGCUUCCCGUCCUUCCCCACUUUGCACCUACAGAUAAGCCACUAGGAAUGCAGCAGGAAUUUUUCUAACCUUAAAAUCCUUCAAGGAAUG